AGAGUUUGAUCCUGGCUCAGGAUGAACGCUAGCGGCAGGCCUAAUACAUGCAAGUCGAACGGUAAGUGUAGUAGCAAUAUUAUACGAGAGUGACGUACGGGUGCGUAACACGUAUGCAACCUACCCUUUACAGGAGGAUAGCUCGGGGAAACUCGAAUUAACCCUCCAUGAUAUCAUUUAGUGGCAUCAUUGAAUGAUUAAAACUCUGGUGGUAAAGGAUGGGCAUGCGUCUGAUUAGUUAGUUGGUGCGGGUAACGGCCCACCAAGACGAUGAUCAGUAGGGGAACUGAGAGGUUGAUCCCCCACACUGACACGGCCCAGACUCCUACGGGAGGCAGCAGUGGGGAAUAUUGGACAAUGGGCGCAAGCCUGAUCCAGCAAUGUCGCGUGGGUGAAGAAGGCCUUAGGUUGUAAAGCCCUUUCGUUAAGCGAAAUUUUUUGAUUCGUUUAAAAAAGAAGUCCCGGCUAACUUCGUGCCAGCAGCUGCGGUAAAACGGGGGGGGCAAGCGUUAUUCGUCGUGACUGGGCGUAAAGGGUCCGUAGACGGUUUGUUUUUUAUUGCAGAGACAUUUUGUAAUUUAUUACAUUUUUCUGCUUAUUUUUAGCAACUCUAGAGUGUAAUUUAGAAUUUUGGUAUUCUCGAUGGAGGGGUGAAAUCCGUAGAUAUCGAAGGGGACCACCGAUGGCGAAGGCAAAAAUUUAUAUUACACUGACGUUGAGGGACGAAAGCAUGGGUAUCAAACGGGAUUAGAGACCCCGGUAGUCCAUGCCCUAAACUAUGGAUCUUAAACUCUAAUUUUUUUGAGUUUUAGUGAAAACGUUAAAGAUCCCGCCUGAGUAGUAUGAUCGCAAGAUCGAAAUUCAAAGAGAUUGACGGAGAUUCGUACAAGCGGUGGAGCAUGUGGUUUAAUUCGAUGUAACACGCAAAAUCUUACCAAUUCUGAACUACGAAAGUAUAAUGCAUGUAAUUUUGUAUUUUAAAACUGUAAUUUUUACAGUUUUUUAUUUUCGAUAGGUGCUGCAUGGCUGUCGUCAGCUCGUGCCUUAAGGCGUUCGGUUAAUUCCGGUAACGAGCGCAACCCUAAUUAGUAUUUUUAUAUGCUAACAUUUAAGGUUAACUUAAAUUAAUUAGGACCACGUCAAGUCAGUAUGGCCCUUAUGAAUUGGGCUACACACGUGCUACAAUGGUAAUUACAGUUUUGAGACAAAAUUGCAAGAUUUAGUUAAUCAAAAAAAGUUACCUUAGUUCAGAUUGAGUUCUCAAAAUUCGGACUCAUGAAGGCGGAAUCGCUAGUAAUCGCAAAUUAUAAUGUUGCGGUGAAUAUGUCAACGAGUCUUGUACACACCGCCCGUCACGCCAUGGGAGUUGGUUUAGUCUGAAGUUUUACAUGUUAUUUCCUUAUAUUCUGGUUACGUACGACCGGUUUAGGGCUUAGUUUGGUUUUCUAGGAUUAGAUUGGUGACUGAGGCGAAGUCGUAACAAGGUAACC
rnacentral:rRNA from 1 species